UUUGUACUCCCUCCGUCCCAAAAUUCUUGUCUUAAAUUUUUCUAAAUAUGGAUGUAUCUAGUUACAUUUUAGUGUUAGAUACAUCCGUAUCUAAACAAAUGUAAGACAAGAAUUUUGGGAUGGAGGGAAUACUAC
rnacentral:pre_miRNA from 1 species